CUGCCAUCGCUACACCCACCUCCACCGCCACCACAGCUAUCCACUGCCAUCGCUACAGCCACCGCCACCGCUACUUCUUCAUCCUUCACUUCCAGCUUCUAACCGCCACCGCAGAUACCCACCGCCACCGCAAGUUGCAACCACGCCGCACUGCCAGCGCCCCGCUAUUCCACUGUCGUCCAUCCGUCUAGCACUCCGUCUCCAGCGACCGACAAGUCGAUAACAACUUGCAAAUACUCUGGUUAGAACCAAACUUCAACCUUAUUGUCUUAAUUAAUUAGUCCUAAUUCCAUAAUUGAUAAAUCCCUAAUUUUCUAAACCUUCAAUCUUCAACUUUUUAAAUACUAAUGAACUUGUGAUAAACUGGUGCUUGGGCCUUGAAAUGAUUUUACAGCCAGUAUUGCGAAGAAUAAAGCUAGUAAUAGAAGAAUGGUGAUCCAACAAGUACUAGAUUUUGUUGAUAUGAUUUUUCUCUGUUGAUAGAUAGAUAGGUUUGAAGUUCACUAAUCUAGAAGAAUGGUUAAUCUGGAAUUGGUAUUACUAUGUUGGUUUGGUCGACAAUAAGAGAACUUAUAUCUAGUAUGUUUGAGUUGCUGUGAGUUUCUGUUUUACCUAAAUUAAAGUUAGGAUGAGAUUGCAUACUAUCUAUUUGAGAAAAUGUCUAUUAAAGUGAAGGAUUUUGUUGAAGCAAAAAACCAUGUUGAAUUGGUGUUUCACUAUGUUAUUAAUAAAUUUUUAUGGCUUCUUUUCAUUUGGAAGCAUCUCAUAUAUUCUUUUAUGCACAGACUGCUUUGUCUGAUAUUCUUUACUAGAAUGUUUCUUAGUCUAGUCAUAGGAAAGUUAUUUGAUUAUAUCUGGAGUACUAGAAGGAGAUAGAUGCUUACUUUGUACUUUCAAUGGUGUUUCUUGCUAAGUGCUUUCAACCAUGUAGGAUUCAGUGGAGGAAUUUAAGCAGGAACAGGAGGAAACUUUUAGAAAGCUUUCCUCAGGUUUGUUCUCUAUUGCUAAAAGACCCGAAGCUAAUAACUUCUUUAUCUUGCAGAGAAAAUAGUUGAACCAUCUUAAUUGUAACUGUAGAGCAGUGGACAUGGUUUACAGAUUGUGGUAAUGUGUCUAUGGUUGUGUUUUAUGACUUUUGUCUAAACAUGAUUCUAACUUUUGUCUCUUUUAAGGGUUAUUAACAAUGACAACCAUGUUGAACCUGUUGACGAAGGUAAAAGAUUCAAGACCUUAUCAUUUGUGAGCUACUUUGUCAUAUGCUAUAUAUAUAUUGUGUAGGUUGUGCUGGUAGCAAACUCACUCCCUGUAUUAAAUGACAUUACUGCUAUGGAGUUGUCCGAUAUUGUUGCUAAAGCUGCUAAGCAGGGUAGCCUUCUUCUUUAGGUGUUUUUUGGUUCUAGUAUUAUAGGAGAUCAAAUGCCAGCCCCCUCAAGUCCCAGAGAUGGUGAUGAUGUGACUAUCACAGUUGGGCACCCUCAGGAGUUUGUGAAGGAUCACUCGAUGUUGCUGUUGAUGGAUUCAACCCACACUUGAUGUUGCUGUUGAUGGAGUUUGUCAAAUGUUGGUGUUUAACAUUUUUUUAUCACUUCUGUUGAAGGUUAGGAUGAGAGAAAUUGAUGGAUUCACCACUUGCUGUUGCUAGAGUUUGUCAAAUGUUGGUGUUUAAUAUUUUUUGAUCACUUGUUGUUGCUUUUGAAUACAAUGCUCAAAUAUUAAUAUAUUAUUGAAUACUAUUAAAUGUUACAAUUGAUUUUUUUUUUCCAAUUAAAU